AUUGAACGCUGGCGGCAGGCUUUACACAUGCAAGUCGAACGGCAGCACAGUAAUCGCUUUGUCGUCCAGGGGGCGACGGGCGGGUGAGUGAUGGGUACAUCCGCAUCUGCUUUUUCGUGCGGGACGAAGGAGGGAUUCAUACGGUAAUACCGCAUACGAUCUACGGGGGGAAGCAGAAGACCUCCCGACCUUGCAGGGUUGGAUGUGGCGAUGUCGGAUUAGCUAGUUGGUGGGGUAAAGGCUCACCAAGGCGACGAUCCGUAGCUGGUCUGAGAGGACGAUCAGCCACACUGGAACUGAGACACGGCCCAGACUCCUACGGGAGGCAGCAGUGGGGAAUAUUGGACAAUGGGGGCAACCCUGAUCCAGCCAUGCCGCGUGCGUGAAGAAGGCCUUCGGGUUGUAAACCGCUUUUGUUGGGGAAGAAAACCUCUGGGCUAAUACCCCGGGGGGAUGACGGUACCGGAAGAAUAAGCACCGGCUAACUACGUG
rnacentral:rRNA from 1 species